GCGGUUGUAGUCUAGUGGCAGGACAGGGGCUUCCCAAGCCUCUAACCCGGGUUCGAAUGAAAAAAUCUUCA
rnacentral:tRNA from 1 species